UUCAUUCAACACUCAACACUCACUAAGAGCCUGCUAUAUCUUAGGAAUGGUGCUUAGAACACGGGAUGGGGGUGGAGAGAAUGAAGACAUCAAUAGGACACGGCCUCUGUCACCCAGAAGCUCACUGUCUAGUGGACAUAUGGGCAAAUAUCCUAGUCUUUUGUGAUGAUGGAUGGGGCUCUGACUCAGGUCAGAAUGAAGUUCUAGAGGCCUCAGAGGAGGGUGUAACCAACUUCCUGUGGGGUUCUAGGAACAAGUGACCAAGGAGGUGAUCUUUAAAUUAUAACCUGACAGAUGUGCAAUGUUUCUCCAGACAGGUGAGAGGAAACAGGGCCUUCUAGGCCAAGGAGCAGUGCAUUCAAAAGCAGGAAAGGCAAAAGAACAUAGAGCUCAUGGAGACUGAAGUUGGUGCUGUACUGGGGUCAGUGGGGAUGGAAGGGAGAUCAUUGAAUAAGUUGGUUGGGGCAAGACUGGGAAUGUUCUCGACAAGAUGCCAAGGAGUGCGGCCUGUCUGGAAGGUGCCCAUGGUGAGUUCUGGACAGAGUAUAGAGGAUCCGGUUCUCAGAGGGGGCACAGCAAGACUCAUAACCAAAAAUGUCCAUUCUUGUGACAAACACCACGUAGAUCCCCAGAUCUUCAGAUCUUCUGUCCCGUGUCCUUAAAACAAAGGGCAACUGUGUCUGGAUGUUGUGUAAGUUUGGGGUCGUCCCACUACAGACUUUGCAGGUGAAUACCGCUUUGGAUAAGAGGGAGGGUUUGAAUCGUUACAGCACUCAGAAGUGGAAACCAAAGCAUGGUGAAGUGAAGGAACAUGGGUCCCGUUCCGUAGUGCGAGGACCAAGAGAAGAGGUCUCCAGUGGUUGCCCACGGCAUGGUACUUUCUCUCCUUCUGAGAACGACACCAUUACAUAACUGUCUGAGACAGUGCCUCAGACUGCAGAGAUUCCCUUCUGCCCAUCUGCGCCAGGCACACAUAUCCUGGCACGGAAUCAGGAAGAUGGCCACUUUCACAUCAACUGGGCAGCCCCAAUACCUACCUUUCUCCUCUCCACCUCCACUGUGCACCCCCUCUCUGCUACUGGGCAAAGCACGCACGCUCCGAUACUACCUUACACCAGGGAAGUAAUCUCUGGCCUCUGUCUGGUUCUCUGCCCUUAGAGAAUGUCCCAGCCAUCUACCCUUUCUGAGUCCUCAAAGCAUUCUCCCUUCUGCUUCUCCACCAGUGUGGCCUCUUCUGUGAAGUUCUCUAAUCAUGGGCUUCCCCAACACCCACCCUCCCACUAUCAUCUUUACCUCAGAAAAUGAAAUAAAGAAAUUCAAGUGACUCAUCUGUCCACAUAGCUGGAGGGGAGAAGCGGAAAGUGCAGAAGCCAUCACAGAACGAUGCCUAUUUCUGCAGGCCUUUUGACUGCUUCCUAUGAUCCGCUGAGCUUCACGAAAGGGAAGAUAAAAGAAUCGGAGUGGUGCCAUAUUGUCUCCGAAAGCAGCCAGCGUGAACAUGAAGUACCAUUUCCACCUUCCCAAGACGCAGGGUGGCUCCCACCUCACGUGAUCAUACGGGGCUCCGCAGCUGGAUGGGCAGCCUUGGGAGAGAUGCCUACCUGGUCAGCACCACCGAGCCUCAGCCGCUCCCCCUGGCCAGGGGUUCCCCACACCUCAGUGCCACCCUCCCCAAGGCCUGCGACCUAACUCCACGUCAGCCCUCUGGACACACAGUGGUGUCUACUGGGGGCACUCAUCAGGGAGCCAACAGGGGCUGCCUUCUCGGGACGCACAGCCCGCUGGCAGCACUGGGCUUGACAGACCCCAAACUCUGUACUCUUGAGCUGGCUGGAGGCCUGCCAGACCAGUGUGCAUGAUGAGGGAGAGUCAGUCAGAGUCAACCAGAGGGAGACUCAGCUUUAGUCCGCUGUACAUACUGGGCAUCCGCCUGAGACAGCAUUAGGAAAACACAAAACACACAAGACAAAAACACAAAAACACACUGCAAUUACUAACAUAAAUAGGGACUAGCCUUGAAAGCCCCCACUGGUCUAGCCCAGUGUUUCUCAAACUUGAGUGGACCUGAGAUCUCCUAGAGGGCCAGAUAAAACACGAAUGGCUGGGCCCCUCCCCAGGGUUGCUGAUUCAGAAUUUUGGGGUGAGGCUGAUGUUCUGUAUUUCUAACAAACUCUCAGCAACCCUGAUUUUGCUGUUUUGGGGGAUGAACUUUAAGAACCAUGAUCUAGCCCAAAUUUCCCUUUCAGAGCCAAGAGAGGUGAUUCCUCCCAGGUGCCUUAGCCAGUUGGAGAUGAACUAGAGUACUGCCCCAGUCUCUGACAGUCCCCACACUUCCUCUUCCAGGGCUUGUCCAUCACACCCCGCAUCUGCUCUGACACGACAGGGCCCUGGGCAGAGAAGGCCACUUGGAUCUGGGCUCUCGAGCAGCUUUACCCCUAGGACAUGAUCAAAGGAGAGCAUUCCUAACUCAGAGACCAUGCUGAGCCUGCCUGUGUCCCCAGUUUGGGAAAUUGCAUCAUGCCCCCAGCACAUCAGGGUGGUAGCUUCCCCAGAAUGCACUUCUCCGUGCCAUCACUGAGGCUUCCACAAUCACAUUCCUGUAUUCUGUCUCCCAACACAUCCUUACUGAGAGUGGCUGGGUACAAGGCACUAUCCUAACUUCUGAGAUCCAUAGAUUUCUGAGGGAGAGGUUCUUCCCGGCCCUUAAGGACUUCACAGGGAGGAAAACCAAGCCUAAUCAAGUUGUUACCUCGUGAAGGGCAAGAGGGGAGUGGCUCAGGUGAGUAAGGGAGAGGUGUAAGGAGGGUUUCAUCAAGUAAGCAGGCACAUGUUAGCAGACAAGGGAUAUGGGGUAGAGGAGACAUGCUCAAUGCAAGGAUAAAAUAGUAAGAAAUGUUGAUCGAAUAUCUACUGAACAUCAAACGCUUUCCAUACUUCUCUUAUCUUCAGAACCAUCCCUGCAAGAGGUGCCAUUAUAACAUCCUCAUUUAUGGAUCAGAAAACUAAAGCUCAGAGAGGUUAUACAACUUACCCAAAGCCACACAGCUACUCACACUUAGGGUCUCUGACCCCAGAGCCUGAUCUCUUAGGUACUGUGCCAUCUUAUCGCUCUCAGCAAGGAACGGGCAGCUUGCACUGGUCUGGAGGGCCACAGGUUUACCGAAGUCCUGGAUUGAUGUGUGUGUGUGUGGGGGGGGUGUAGUUGGAAAGAUAGGCUGGAGCUUUGUUGAGGGGCUUGACUGCAGGUGGAGUCAUUUGAACCUAACUCAGGAGACUGCCAGGGUCACUGAAGGGUUUAGCAGGAGAGAGACGCAUGGCACAACAGUGUGGUAGGGAAAUCCCUCUGAUAGCAGUGGGCAGAUUGGGUUGGAGAGGGGAGGCCCUGGUGAUCAGAAGAUCACACUGAAGGCCACUGCCGAAUUUCAGAAGCAAGAACAUGGGCACCUGGCUUGGAGCGGGGUGGCAGGCACAGAGGGAGACUCAGGGCAGGUGCUCUUCUCACCACUGUCAUUGCAAAUAUUUCUUGACCCCUGGUGACAUGCUUUACCCAUAUUAACUCAUUUAAUCCUAACAGGAGCUUUUGCAUCAGAUCCCUCUCCUAUGACAUUUCUUGGCCCUCCUAUAUCUCUAUGGAUGCAUCCCCACGCCUGGCAGGGUUCCUGUUUGAGGGAUCAAACCUGAAACUUCUUCCUUGAGUAUAUAGGUAUUAUGGGUUGAGACAAUUUAGGAUCAAGAAAUCAUGAUCAGUCUCAGAACUUUUUAUUCUCUUGAUUUUACAGCCGGGAAAGCUGAGGCCUAGAGAGGACCAUGACCUUGGCUUUGUCCCCUCUAGGACGCGACAGAGGCUGGACCAGAAGCAAGGAAGUCUUCCCUAGAUUUCCACCCUGCUUCGGUUCUCCCGCUUCCUGGGGCCAGACCAGAGGCCUUGCAGCUGUGGUGGGUGCCAGGUGGCAUCUCACUCACCAGGCUGGCGGGCGCCUGAGGACCCUGCGGUCAGCGCCAGUCUGGAAGCCCAUCCCCCACACGGGCACUGCGGGCACAGGGCAGAGGGACUGAGUGAAGGCAGCACGUGUGGUGGAAGGGACAAGAAUGCAGUGACUCAGGCCCACAUUGGAGCAUUGUUCUCAGCUGUCUGGGGGGCAUCCCGGCCUGGACAAGGCAGCUGCUAUCUUCACUUUGUUGGAGAGUCACUCUAGACCCAGGGAGUUGACACCGUAAGAGCAGAGGAGAGCGAGAUGGGCUGCACCCAGGAGACACUGGGUGGAAGAUACGGUGCCCACUGCAGAGUUAGAAAACAGCUCACUUCCCAGCCCUGCUCUGGCCCUUGCCACGGCUGUGAUCUUGAACAUGAUCCCCCCUGAACCUGACGAGCCUCACCCCUCUCAUCUGUUUAUGGGUGCAACGUCUUGGAGAUGUGCCAAGUGGCCAGUAGACUAAUGCAUUAAAAAAAAAAAAAAAAGCUUUUGCAAGCCUAGAGAAUUCUACACAUGUGUUUUAGUCUGUUCAGGCUGCUAUAACAAAAUACCACAGACUGGGGAGCUUAUAAGGAACAAAAUUGUAUUUCUCACAGUUUUGGCAGCUGGGAAGUCCAAGAUCAAAGUACCACCAUGGUCGAGUUCCACUGAGAGCUCACUUUCUGGUUCACAGCUGAUGCCUUCUCGCUGUGUCUUCCCAUGGUGGAAGCCCAAGGUAUCUCCCGGCAGCCUCCUUUGUAAGAUCACUAAGCCCGUUCAUGGGAACUUCUCCCUCAUGACCUAACCACUUCCCAAAGGCCCCAUCUCCCAAGAGCAUCCCCUUGGGGGUUAGGAUUUUGACAUGAAUUUUGAUACUAUUAUCAUUAUUAAUGCUAAGAGUGAUAUCCUUAAACAUUCUUAAAGGAAACAUGGUGACGAAAUGUGAACUUGUCUCCAUGAAGGGUAUGUUGGAAUCCUCUGUACUGUUUUUGUAACCCUUAUGUAAAUUUGAAAUUACUUCAAAAUAAAAUGUUUAAAAAAA